rnacentral:rRNA from 1 species
AGCUCCAAUAGCGUAUAUUAAAGUUGCUGCAGUUAAAAAGCUCGUAGUUGGAUCUCGGGGUACCUGGUCUAGCCGGUAUAGCUCACGCUAAAACUGGUCUGACCCCCCAACGUGAGGUAUUCGUCUCCGGGUGCACUUCAUUGGGUGCUCGUGAGGGGCCUCGUAGUUACUGUGAAAAAAUUAGAGUGUUCAAAGCAGGCUCAUAUGUUCGGAUAGUCGUGCAUGGAAUAACUGAAUACGUGACUGGCGCUUUUCAGUUGGUCUAGGAGACCAACAAAAGCGAAAGCAUUUGCCAAGAAUGUCUUCA